rnacentral:rRNA from 1 species
UUGGAGGGCAAGUCUGGUGCCAGCAGCCGCGGUAAUUCCAGCUCCAAUAGCGUAUAUUAAAGUUGUUGCAGUUAAAAAGCUCGUAGUUGAAUUUCGGGGUUCUACCGUCGGUCGGGCUACCAAGUCUGUACUGGUGUGUAGAAUUUCUACCUUCUGGGGAACCAUCAUGUUAUUAAUUUAGCGUGGUGGGAAACCAGGACCUUUACCUUGAAAAAAUUAGAGUGUUCAAAGCAGGCUUAUGUCUGAAUACAUUAGCAUGGAAUAAUAGAAUAGGACGGUGGUCCUGUUUUGUUGGUUUCUGAAUCACCGUAAUGAUUAAUAGGGAUAGUUGGGGGCAUUAGUAUUCAAUUGUCAGAGGUGAAAUUCUUGGAUUUAUUGAAGACUAACUUCUGCGAAAGCAUUUGCCAAGGAUGUUUUCAUUAAUCAAGAACGAAAGUUAGGGGAUCGAAGACAAUCAGAUACCGUCGUAGUCUUAACCAUAAACUAUGCCGACUAGGGAUCGGACGAUGUUGAAUUUUAUUGACUCGUUCGGCGCCUUACGGGAAACCAAAGUGUUUGGGUUC